rnacentral:rRNA from 1 species
AGUGAACGCUGGCGGUAGGCCUAACACAUGCAAGUCGAACGGCAGCACAGUAAGAGCUUGCUCUUAUGGGUGGCGAGUGGCGGACGGGUGAGGAAUACAUCGGAAUCUACUUUUUCGUGGGGGAUAACGUAGGGAAACUUACGCUAAUACCGCAUACGACCUCCGGGUGAAAGCAGGGGAUCUUCGGACCUUGCGCGAUUGAAUGAGCCGAUGUCGGAUUAGCUAGUUGGCGGGGUAAAGGCCCACCAAGGCGACGAUCCGUAGCUGGUCUGAGAGGAUGAUCAGCCACACUGGAACUGGAACACGGUCCAGACUCCUACGGGAGGCAGCAGUGGGGAAUAUUGGGCAAUGGGCGCAAGCCUGAUCCAGCCAUACCGCGUGGGUGAAGAAGGCCUCCGGGUUGUAAAGCCCUUUUGUUGGGAAAGAAAAGCAGCAGGUUAAUACCCCGCUGUUCUGACGGUACCCAAAGAAUAAGCACCGGCUAACUUCGUG